CUUUCCCCCAGCACCCCCCCCAACCCCAAGAAGUUUCCAAAGUGACCACAUGUGGGCCCAAAUCAAACCCUUGUCCUCAGGCCUCUGCUGGCACUUCUCCCAGAUCGCCCACCUUCCUCCUCCAGCUCCGCAGCCCGGCCACCCUCCUCACCCCUGCCCCCGCCAUUCCUCUUUGUGGACAACUUUCUAAAUGCAGCCAAACUUCCCCUUUCAGUCCACAGCCCCCAGAAAACAGCUGCAAAAAGUCAGCGGCUCGGCAAGUUCUCUUGCAAAGUUUGGCCGAGAGUAACAGCCACUCGUUCUAGCCAUUGCCACCCUCUCCCAGGCUCAGAAGGCCAGUCUCCCCCUCCAGGAAACAGUGAGAAGCCCCCGCUCCAGUACUGCUCCCGGGGUCACAGUCUCCCCAGCAAUCUAAUCUAGAGAGAACUCCUGAAAGGGGCCCGGCUGAGGGUAGCUGGGGGAAGUUGACCGCCCGAAACCUGACGGGUUUCCUGACCUUGCCCAAGCCCUCUGUGACCCUGGGCACCUCACUUACUCCCCCCACCACUGCCCCCCCACACCCAGGCACAGGCCUCUCCUUUGGAGAACAAGGGAUGGAUACAUUGGUUGAUUUUCCAGGCCCCUUCCAAGUCUGAAAUUCCACACAUGGGUCGUUUCUCCCUAGGGUGCCCAGGGAUGGGAGAGAAGCUGUGCCCAGGGACACCCGUCUCACUGAGGGUGGUCUGACCAGGCCUCCGAAAAUGCAUUCUUCGUCCUCUCGGUGACAGUCGGCCCCCUGUAAAAGAGAGGCUCUCACGCCCGAGUCUGAUCAGAAUCACCUGGGAAAACCACACCAUCUCCGACCCCAGCUACACUCCGGACCAAAGAAACCAGAAUCUCAGCUCAGGGCCUGGUCCUCAGUCUGUUUGGAAGGUUACUCAGGUGAUUCUGAAUGAGCAGAAAGAGUUCAGAACCAUUGUGGAAAAGGCAUCUAGAAACGAAAGAGGAAGCUGUAAGCCAGAGAUGCCACAUCUGGGUGCCACCUUCUCUGCUGAGAAGCUCUUGAGGCCAGUGGGAUGGACUCCAGUUCACACGCUUGUAACCACCACCCCUUCAUGGCUGCCACAAGAACGAGUGAAAACCUGUGGGAAAAGUGCAAAGGCAGUUAAUUUGUGGCGUGAGAGCACAGGAAACUCAGCUCUCAGAACGGGCUUCAGGAGAAGGCCGGAAGCCUGCAGCAACGUUUUGAAUUGAAGGCGGGGGCUCUGAGACACCCAGAGCCUGAGUCGCUGGAAACAGCAGCUGCCCCCAGGGGUCUGUAAAAGGUCAGGGUGAGGGGUGUUGCAGGAAAGGUGUCUCAGGACAGUGGGUAAAGGGCACCCCGGGGACCAAGCUCGACAGGCCCCUCAGAGGCCGCUGGGGGUCCAUCCAUACACCAAGGAAGGUGCGGGGCAAGGCAAGCUUCCGCACCGAGCCGGGGUCUCUCCUGGCACAGCUGUCAGUGCCUCCGGUCACUUCCUGCACCCAGCAGGUGGGCACAUCCAAGACCCUGUGAAGCACCUGUGAUGUUGUCUUCCCAGCAGGAGUCCCCAUGAUGCCCUCACAACUCUGAGCCCCAUCUCCUUCGUCCGCAUCCCCCGACCUCCUGUAGGAGGUCUUUUCAGAGUCGGGGUGGGGGUGGCCGGGCCCCAGGAAAGCCUUCCAGGUCACUGAGCAGUAUGCUGACCAGCAGGGCCGGGGCUCAGCCCAGGAAACUGAUGACUCAGGGGGAUGUACCUUCGCUCCGUGGACACGUUAGAGACAUUGGCCUUGGGCCCUCCCGGUGCCAGGCGUGAGGGCGAGGAGAGCAGUCAGGCCUGGUCCUUGCUCUCAUGGGGUUUACCCUCCAGAAAAGGGCACAGAAGUAGACAGGCCUCAGUGUGUCUUCUUUCAUCCCUUCUAGAAAACUGAGAAAGGAGGGAAGCAAGGAAAGGAGGGAUCUGCCUACAGAUGGAUUCAGAGCCUCAUCACUUCUCCCCGCGCCCCACGCGCUGCUACUGCCACCAUCUCUGCCUGGAUUGUUUACAUUGGGGUCCUGGAAUUCCUUUGUGGCACAGCAGGUUGAGGAUCCAGCAUUGUCACUGCAGCAGCCCAGGUUGCUGCUGUGGUGUGGGUUCGAUCUCUGGCCUGGGAACUUCCUAAUGCCAUCGGUGAGGCAAUUUAAAAAAAAAACACACACAAUUCGGCCCUGAAUGCGGCAGGCCAGCUCUACCAC
rnacentral:lncRNA from 1 species